CUUCUGAGCCAAAAGCUGCACCCAGCGUUGCCCUUAACACACACACGUAAACUGUCUCCGGUGAAUUUGUGUAAUGGUGUUUUGAGUCCAUUUGUCCUUCUGACCUCCACAACAUCCUGUGGCGAUACGUCCCACAACUUAAUUACGUGUGAGUGAAAAAAGUGCUUCCUGUUUGUUUUCUAAAUUGCCUGAAAGCAUCCCUGGGUAAAGCAUCACCCGGUACUGUGGAAAGGUGAGUGAUGGCCCUCGCUUUCCUUGUCUAUAUGGCCGGGCAGCCUAUGGACUCCUCUGCUGUAACCUGUCUGUGUUCCAGGCUGAAGCGUCCCAGGUCUAUUUACCUCCUUACAUGAGAACUGGUGGGUGCCACACACCCCCAACACCAGGUCCUGGGCCUCCUCCAGCCCUGUGGGCCUCUCUGAGGUGCGUGCCUCAGUUUUCCUCCUCCCGCCGAACCCAGAGCACACAAGAGCUGCUGCAGAUCCCCAGAACAAUACGAAAGACAUGAAUCUUCAUGAAACUACCCUCCCAAUGUAGCUGAGACUCCGGAGUGUUCGCAGCCUUUGCCUUUCAUCAGGAGAAGCCCCGGGGAGGUUCAAGGCGGGAUCCUUGCCACUGCGGCUCAGCAGUCACAAAAAGCCAAAUAAAUAAAGCAGGAAGUUGGCAAAGCCCUGAUUCAGCAGAGGUACGAGCACAAGUUCAGCAUUCACCGCUGCUUAAGAUGAUUUGGAACAACAGAGUUGAUCUCAUGGCUGCCCAGGAGUCAGACCGGGAAUCCAGGACCUUGGCAGUCAGCCAUCAGUGUUUUAAAUCUAAGGGGAGAGGAUGCGCAAAGGAUCAGCCACCGAACACAGACGCUUUGGGACGUGACCGUGCAGCAGAGAGGAUCUGCAGAGCAAUUAAGCCCACGGGAUGAAUGGUUCCCUUUACCUUCUCCUCGUGCCUCAUCACAUCUGGUUCCCCAUCCCUGAGCCUCCCCAGGUCGUGUGGUGUGUCCAGAUCUUGUAACGGGGUCUCCCAGAUUGUCCCUAUCAGUGGGGCAAACUCACAUAAUGGCGAGGAUCCCCACCAUCUACACAGAGGUGGUUUUGCUUAUCAAGGGUGUUUUCAGCAAUUUUGAUCUGCUUGUUGGAAAUUUAUAGUGGUGAUGCCCUCUAGGGAGUGACUUGUUUUUCCUACCCCCGAUUCAGCUUCAGACCCGUGAAUUUUAAGUGCAUAUGCAUACAUAACAGCGUGUCUGUAUUUAUACAGAUACUGCCAGUGCACAUUUUGCAGUAAUUCUCCUUGGAUGCUCUUGCUUUCUCCUGCCAUCAAUUUUUUUGAAUGACAUGGAACUGAUAAUGAAUGUGGUUUCAGUACGGAGUGAUUGGGCUGGCUCGUCUCAUUCCACCUCUCCUGCUUUUGAGCAGGAAUGUGAGGACUUGCUGUGUCUAUUUUAGAUUCCAUCAUGAAAGGAAUAAUUGAGAUUGAGAUUCUUAGUCACUCGAUGCAGAAGGUCAGGGAAUUAAUGCUGUGCUGCCUCCAGACCAUUCAUUUACCGUGCCUCCUCUUUUUUAUCCCUUAACUGUCUGUAGGGGAAAACAAAUGCGCCACAGAGCAGGUAACGCAUCUUCAGUGCUGCGUGCGCUCCCGGCCUCUGGUAAUACACACUGUUUAUCUUUAUUUUGGGGAUGUUCCAGGGUGGUUUUAUCAUCAUAAUCGAUUAGUGGCGACAAGGAAAAAAAAUCCAGGAGUAACAGGAAGAAAUGAUUCCAGUGAAUCCAUUGACUCGGUUGUAGCAUUGAUCUACUCCUGAGAAUUAUUUAUAGGAGAAGAUUCAUAGUUAACAAUAUUAGUUUGGACUUCUGGAAUGGUUUAUCAUAGGAUCUAAAAGGCCGUUGGUAACAGGUAGAAGAAUAAGGCAGAGAGUCUCAUUUUGGGAGAGAGAAGGAAAUGGGAUUGCUGGUGUAACUCUGACCACAAGUAUUUGUGGCUCACAAGGUGCGUCUGCCCGCGGUGCGACACGGCAGAGCCUGCACGGACACGGGUGCCGGACCCCAGCGGCUGCCAACCGGCCCGGUUAGGGAAAGCGCCUUCAAAACACCUGCGCUAAACCCCUCCUGAAGCUGCAGCAGAGGUGUCUGUGAGACGGACGCCCGAGCCAGGUCGCGCAGGGACAGCCGCAUGGGCACGAACAACCCUGUUCCUCCCCGGCCUCUCCUCCAGGUUUGGUUUUGUUUUUAACUUAAUUGAUCUGUAUCCUGCAAUCCUACCCGCAGGAGAAACGACACAUCUGAAAGAGCAGGAGGAUUUGUUUAAAGUGCUCUGGCUGAGUUUUUCAGUGUGUGUAUAUAGAAUUGCCUGGAAGUAGUAAAUAGAAUUAAACACGGUAGUUCUGAAAAACAAAAUUCUCAGGGUUGUCUGUUGAUUUCAAAGCUGAUUGGAAACAAAGCAGACUUCGAAAUCUUUCCUCACAGAGCUCCCUCCCUUAUCAUCUAAAAGAUGGGCUGAUAAUAGUUGGGUUUUAUUCUUCUUUUGAAACAGUUGAAAAAUGCUGUUUUCUCAAUUAGGAUGAAAAUCCCAAUGUUUUUAACAAGGUCGGUGUAAUGUCUUCAUUAGAAAGACGCUGAAAUGACUCGAUGCGGAUCUGGAACUUCCAUCAGGAAAUAUUCCGUGUCUG